GACCGAGUGCCCGAGUGGUCAGGGGGCGGUCCGCAAAACCGUACAUACGGGUUCGAAUCCCGUCUCGGUCU
rnacentral:tRNA from 1 species